rnacentral:rRNA from 1 species
CGCACGGGUGAGUAACACGUAUCCAACUUGCCGUCUACUCUUGGACAGCCUUCUGAAAGGAAGAUUAAUACAAGAUGGCAUCAUGAGUCCGCAUGUUCACAUGAUUAAAGGUAUUCCGGUAGACGAUGGGGAUGCGUUCCAUUAGAUAGUAGGCGGGGUAACGGCCCACCUAGUCUUCGAUGGAUAGGGGUUCUGAGAGGAAGGUCCCCCACAUUGGAACUGAGACACGGUCCAA